UACGUAGGGUGCGAGCGUUAAUCGGAAUUACUGGGCGUAAAGCGCACGUAGGCGGCGCAGCAAGUCAGGGGUGAAAUCCCGGAGCUCAACUCCGGAACUGCCUUUGAAACUGCAGUGCUAGAAUCCUGGAGAGGCGAGUGGAAUUCCGAGUGUAGAGGUGAAAUUCGUAGAUAUUCGCAAGAACACCAGUGGCGAAGGCGGCUUACUGGUCCGGUUCUGACGCUGAGGCACGGAAAGCGUGGGGAGCAAACAGG
rnacentral:rRNA from 1 species